GACGAACGCUGGCGGCGUGCCUAAUACAUGCAAGUCGAGCGGAGUAAAAAGCGUGCUUGCACGGUUUUAUUUAGCGGCGAACGGUGAGUAACACGUAGGUAACCUGGCCAUAAGACAGGGAUAACGCACGGAAACGUGAGCUAAAACCAGAUAGGCAUUUUCCACGCAUGAGGGAGAUGAGAAAGGCGGAGCAAUCUGCCGCUUAUGGAUGGACCUGCGUCGCAUUAGCUAGUUGGAGUGGUAAAGGCACACCAAAGGCGACGAUGCGUAGCCGACCUGAGAGGUGAGCGGCCACACUGGGACUGAGACACGGCCCAGACUCCUACGGGAGGCAGCAGUAGGGAAGUCUU
rnacentral:rRNA from 1 species